GUAGCACAGAUCACAGGGGGUGCAGUUUAAUGAAACACAAGUCUAUCUUAAAUCAACAUAAAGCAUGGAGUACAAUGAGAGGUAACUGCUUCAUAGAUUUUUAUUACUACUUAAUAGUGCUGCUGUGAAAGCCUUGGAAACUGAGAACUAUGAUUAUCCCCAAAAUAAAAUCUAUUGAGGGUUUAGCACACAGAGCACCAAUUAUUGAGUAAUGAGUUUAAUUUCUACUGUGCUGCUCUUGGCUUUUGUGCAUUACUUUUAUUAGGAUUUCUUUCUAGACUUAAUUUAGCUACAUCUUGUGUUGACUUUAAUUAUGUUCUAUUUUCAUGUUUGUUACCACUUAGGAGGAUAGUUCAGCCAAAAUGAAAAUUCUUCAUUAUAAAUUUACCCUCAUGUCAUUCCAACCCAGUGUGAUUAUCUUUCCUGUGCAGAACACAAAAAAAAAUAUUUUGAAGAACGCUGGUAACAAGACAAAAUUGCCGCAUUGACUUCCAUGGUAUGAACACAAAACAAUUUCUCAAAAUAUCUUCUUUUUUUUACAGAGGAAAGAGUCAUACUGGUUUCGAAUGGCAUGAGUUUGAAUAAAUUACAGAAUUUUAAUUUUGAGGGUGAACUUUUGAGAAGAUUCUUGUACAAAGUGUGGUCAGUCUUUGUUUGUUUGCGUGUGUGUGUGUGUGCUUGCAUGUGUGUGUGUGUGUGUGUGUGUGUGUGUGUGUGCUUGCAUGUGUGCGUGUGUGUGCGUGCUUGCAUGUGUGCGUGUGUGUGUGUGUGUGUGCCAAAACCAUCAUACAUUCAUUAUUUGUCACAAUAUUAAAUAUAAUAGGCUAUAUACUUAUAAUAUUAUAAUAGCAUAUUGUUCGUUUAACAGUACAUUUAUUAUUUAUUAGCAAUAAUGUUAUGCAUUCAAUUUAGUUGUGGCCAAAUUGUUUCGUAUUGUUAACUAUGAUUUGUAUAUUUUCAGAUAUUCAACAUGUAUCUGUACUGUAGUUCCAGUCAUCACCAGCAGGAGGCAUCUCAAUCCAUGUUACUGAACUACUUGCUGCUUCCACCCACAUUCCUCAGUAACAAGAAUUCUGUACAUUGUUAAAGUACCUCUCCACACAAUCCGAGAGGCGUGAGCAGUGGCUUGAAGCGGGUGCAUCAUGGCCUCCAACCGCAUACAGGAAACUGUUCUCACCCGCCACUCAUCUAACUUGAAUGUGAACGACACAAGAGAUUCUUUGGUCUCAGAGCCUAUUAACUCCCAUCUGGCUGUACAGAGUUGCGGCGAGUAUUGGACACAACACCUGAAGUAUUUAAGAUCUCACUAUUAGGUCUGUAAAAAUGUACAAUUGAUUGAUUUGAAUUCGAUGAGAGAUUGUGCAUUGUGAAUAACUGUAAAUUUAGCCGAGAGUAUAUUCGCAAAAUGGUAAAGCCUUGAUUGACAAAUUACUUAAAUAUACUAAUUAUUUACAAUUAAUGAAUUUUAUUAAAAUGAUUGUAUUAACGGCAACAACAUAUACACACGUUAUGUGACCCAAACUUAACUUUUGGACAUAUCCGCAAAUAAUCAAUAACUGUUGAGUUUUUAUUUAAUUUAAUACAAUUAAUAGACUUUAAAAUAUGAUUAUUAAUUAAUAUUAAUAUUAGUAUAAAUAAUAUAUCAAAUAAAUUGUUUUAUUAGCCUAUAACCAAACACAGAAGUUAACUUCAUUCAGGUUUGGAAUGACACUAGGAUGAGUAAAUGCCAGCUUAAUUUACAUUUUUGGGGUGAGUAUUAUAUGUAGUAUUCUCUCUUCAAUAGGGUUAUUUUAGAGAUAUUUUCAGUCUGAAACAAUAAUUGUAAAAUAAAGAAAUAGUCUUUCUGCACCAACAGUCAAAAUAUAAGAACUAAA